UACGAAGGGUGCAAGCGUUACUCGGAAUUACUGGGCGUAAAGGGUGCGUAGGUGGUUUGUUAAGUCUGCUGUGAAAUCCCCGGGCUCAACCUGGGAAUGGCAGUGGAUACUGGCAAGCUAGAGUGCGGUAGAGGGUAGUGGAUUUCCCGGUGUAGCAGUGAAAUGCGUAGAGAUCGGGAGGAACACCAGUGGCGAAGGCGGCUACCUGGACCAGCACUGACACUGAAGCACGAAAGCGUGGGGAGCAAACAGG
rnacentral:rRNA from 1 species